rnacentral:lncRNA from 1 species
CCCGAAAUCACCCAAAAAGCCCCGAAUUUCCCCAGAGUGGAAGCGGAACCUGCUGCGGAUCCAGCGCCUGGUGCUGAUCGGGGGCCCCGACGACGGCGUCAUCACCCCCUGGCAGUCCAGCCUUUUCGGGUUCUACGACGCCAACGAGACCGUGCGGGACAUGGAGGCGCAGCCGGUGAGGGGCGGGAACUGGGGAGGGGGACCCCAAAACUGGGGAGGGGGACCCCAAAAUUGGGGAGGGGGACCCCAAAACUGGGGAGGGGGACCCCAAAAUUGGGGAGGGGGAGCCC